AUACGUAGGUGGCGAGCGUUAUCCGGAUUUACUGGGUGUAAAGGGCGCGUAGGCGGGGGCGCAAGUCAGGUGUGAAAUCUAUGGGCUUAACCCAUAAACUGCACUUGAAACUGCAUCUCUUGAGUGCUGGAGAGGUAGAUGGAAUUCCUUGUGUAGCGGUGAAAUGCGUAGAUAUAAGGAAGAACACCAGUGGCGAAGGCGAUCUACUGGACAGUAACUGACGCUGAGGCGCGAAAGCGUGGGGAGCAAACAGGAUUAGAUACCCUGGUAGUCCACGCUGUAAACGAUGAAUACUAGGUGUGGGGGGACUGACCCCCUCCGUGCCGCAGUUAACACAAUAAGUAUUCCACCUGGGGAGUACGGCCGCAAGGUUGAAACUCAAAUGAAUUGACGGGG
rnacentral:rRNA from 1 species